CAAACUCCCUCUCGUGCUCUCUCUCUCCCUCUCUCUUUCCCUCUUCUUUUCUUUCUUUCUUUUCCUCCUCCUUCUCAUUUUCACCCGUUACCAUCUCAUCACCUGCGACAAUUCAAAAUACCUCGACCAGGUGAAGUUUCAACGACUCUCCCAUGACCAAAAUGACGUUAGAUUCCGAUGAGAGAAAAAAUUGUAAAGAGAGAGAAAAUGAGUUUCUAAACUUUGAAAUCUCAUUUCUUGCAAUCCUGACAUUCGAUCAAAGUGAUUCCAAUGGCUAUAAAUUUUUUGUGAAGAGAGAUUUUAGAUGGGACCAAUUUCGUCGGAUAUGGUUCUUAUUUCCGGCACUGGUGAGGAGAGAGAAAAUCAUGAAGAGAGAGAACAAGCAACCAAAACUUUCUGACAUCAUUUUCGGUAAUUUCGAUGUCGGAUUAAAGCAUUUCCGGUAGUGUUUAGACUUCUGGCUGUAUGGGUUUUCAUUUGGGACCAACCCUAUUGGAUUUUAUGAAGUUUUUGGUGAGAUUGAAGAGAGAGAAAAUUGAGACUUAUAUCUCAGAUCUCGGCCGAUUAAUGAUGUAUUUCAAU
rnacentral:lncRNA from 1 species